rnacentral:rRNA from 2 species
UAGAGUUUGAUCCUGGCUCAGGAUGAACGCCGGCGGUGUGCCUAAUACAUGCAAGUCGUACGCACUGGCCCAACUGAUUGAUGGUGCUUGCACCUGAUUGACGAUGGAUCACCAGUGAGUGGCGGACGGGUGAGUAACACGUAGGUAACCUGCCCCGGAGCGGGGGAUAACAUUUGGAAACAGAUGCUAAUACCGCAUAACAACAAAAGCCACAUGGCUUUUGUUUGAAAGAUGGCUUUGGCUAUCACUCUGGGAUGGACCUGCGGUGCAUUAGCUAGUUGGUAAGGUAACGGCUUACCAAGGCGAUGAUGCAUAGCCGAGUUGAGAGACUGAUCGGCCACAAUGGAACUGAGACACGGUCCAUACUCCUACGGGAGGCAGCAGUAGGGAAUCUUCCACAAUGGGCGCAAGCCUGAUGGAGCAACACCGCGUGAGUGAAGAAGGGUUUCGGCUCGUAAAGCUCUGUUGUUGGAGAAGAACGUGCGUGAGAGUAACUGUUCACGCAGUGACGUAUCCACCAGAAUGACGAU